UCUGCUAUUAAGAGGGAGCAGUAGAUCGUCGAUUGAAGAGCCAGGUCAGUCAACUUCUAUUGGGACUUCUAUUGAUUAUUAAUUCGACUCUAGGUCAUAGCACCAGUACUUGAACGCUUACUCUUACUGCUCUUCUCAGGUUUACCUUUUUUGGAUGCCCUGAGGUUUGAAGUCAUUUGUUUAUCACAGAACAAGUCCCCCUCAGUCACUGCCAUAGUUGACCCUUUCUUCCAGAUCCUCGCUUCUAUGAGCCAAAUC
rnacentral:lncRNA from 1 species